UCUCCGUAGGUGAACCUGCGGCAGGAUCAUUAUUGUAUAACCGAGGUGCGAGGGCUGUCGCUGACCCGAAAGGUCGUGCACGCCCUAGUGCCCUCACACGCAUCCAUCUCACCCCUAUGUGCACCACCGCGUGGGUCCCCCUUUGGCUUGUUCGGAGGGGGGCUUACGUUUUCACACAAACUUUGUAUGCAGUGUAGAAUGUAUUUUUUGUUUUUGCGAUCACGCAAUCAAUACAACUUUCAACAACGGAUCUCUUGGCUCUC
rnacentral:misc_RNA from 1 species